rnacentral:rRNA from 1 species
AGAGUUUGUAUCCUGGCUCAGGAUAAACGACUGGCGGCGUGCCUAACACAUGCAAGUACGAACGAAUCCCGCAAGGGAGAGUGGCGGAAGGGUGAGUAACACGUGGGAAGUCUACCUCCUCGCAGGGAACAACCUCUCGAAAGAGAGGCUAAUACCCAAAAGGGUCAGAAAUGAUCAGAGUCGAAAGGCGUGAGGAGAGGAGCCCGCGGCCCAUCAGCUAGUUGGUGAGGUAAUGGCUUACCAAGGCUACGACGGGUAGGGGAUCUGAGAGGAUGUCCCCCACACUGGAACUGAAACACGGUCCAGACGCCUACGGGUGGCAGCAGUGAGGAAUAUUGGACAAUGGGCGAAAGCCCGAUCCAGCAACGCCGCGUGGAGGAUGAAGGCCUUCGGGUCGUAAACUUCUUUAGAGGGAGACGAGAAAGGACGGUAUCCCUAGAAUAAGCGACGGCAAACUACGUG